CAACCAUUGGCACUUUAUAAUAUAAGUGACAUUCAACAAUAGAUCAAUAACAUAUACAGUAUAUGCAAAAACAUUUCUGUGAAUCACUGUAUAAAAUAUUCCUCAUAAACUCGCUCCAAUCAUCGCACAGCAGAGUCUUUGGAAGGGUAAAACCAACUUUAACAUCCCCAGUUCAAAACACUUUCCGUGUCCUCUUAGGCAAGCCUGUCCAGCUGGAGAACAUCUGUCGUAAUACUAUUAUAUUUUGGCUGUUAAUUUUGUUUAGCGAACGAACGAUAUUUACCAAACCCAGUUGGAAGAACAGCAACUACAUAGUUCCCAUGUAAUAAAAGCUGAAGAAUCUGAUUUCGAGUACGUCGGUAGCAAAAAGAAGGAAAAAUUUCAAAGACUAAACGCAUUUUUAAGCCGCUCUAAGCACUUAAAUUUUGUGGACACUCUUACGUUGGCGGCCAUCUUGGAUUUUCUAAUUUAUU